rnacentral:rRNA from 1 species
GACGAACGCUGGCGGCGUGCCUAAUACAUGCAAGUUGAGCGAUGAAGAUUGGUGCUUGCACCAAUUUGAAGAGCAGCGAACGGGUGAGUAACGCGUGGGGAAUCUGCCUUUGAGCGGGGGACAACAUUUGGAAACGAAUGCUAAUACCGCAUAACAACUUUAAACAUAAGUUUUAAGUUUGAAAGAUGCAAUUGCAUCACUCAAAGAUGAUCCCGCGUUGUAUUAGCUAGUUGGUGAGGUAAAGGCUCACCAAGGCGAUGAUACAUAGCCGACCUGAGAGGGUGAUCGGCCACAUUGGGACUGAGACACGGCCCAAACUCCUACGGGAGGCAGCAGUAGGGAAUCUUCGGCAAUGGAUGAAAGUCUGACCGAGCAACGCCGCGUGAGUGAAGAAGGUUUUCGGAUCGUAAAACUCUGUUGGUAGAGAAGAACGUUGGUGAGAGUGGAAAGCUCAUCAAGUGACGGUAACUACCCAGAAAGGGACGGCUAACUACGUG